GACGAACGCUGGCGGCGUGCCUAAUACAUGCAAGUCGAGCGAAGCGGCGGAUGGGUGAGUAACGCGUGGGUAACCUGCCCUUAAGUAUGGGAUACCAGUUGGAAACAGAGGCUAAUACGGGAUAAUAAAGGCUGGGACUGGGAUGAAUUAGCUAGUUGGUAAGGUAACGGCGUACCAAGGCGAUGAUGCAUAGCCGAGUGUAGAGACUGAUCGGCAACAUUGGGCUGGAGACACUGCCCAAACGCCUACGGGAGGCAGCAGUAGGGAAGCUUCCACAAUGGACGAAAGUCUGAGUGAGCAACGCCGCGUGAGUGAAGAAGGUUUUCGGAUCGUAAAGCUCUUUUGUUGGUGAAGCGGUAAUCAACCAGAAAGUCACGGCUAACUACGUGCCAGCCGCCGCGGUAAUUC
rnacentral:rRNA from 1 species